UACGUAGGGUGCGAGCGUUAAUCGGAAUUACUGGGCGUAAAGGGCGCGUAGGCGGCCACCGCAAGUCGGUUGUGAAAUCUCCGGGCUUAACCCGGAAAGGUCAAUCGAUACUGCGGGGCUAGAGUGCAGAAGGGGCAACUGGAAUUCUCGGUGUAGCGGUGAAAUGCGUAGAUAUCGAGAGGAACACCUGCGGCGAAGGCGGGUUGCUGGGCUGACACUGACGCUGAGGAGCGAAAGCGUGGGGAGCGAACAGG
rnacentral:rRNA from 1 species